rnacentral:rRNA from 1 species
UCGAGGGGCAGCGGGAUUGAAGCUUGCUUCAAUUGCCGGCGACCGGCGCACGGGUGAGUAACGCGUAUCCAACCUUCCGUACACUCAGGGAUAGCCUUUCGAAAGAAAGAUUAAUACCUGAUAGUAUGGUGAGAUUGCAUGAUAACACCAUUAAAGAUUUAUUGGUAAACGAUGGGGAUGCGUUCCAUUAGGUAGUAGGCGGGGUAACGGCCCACCAAACCGACGAUGGAUAGGGGUUCUGAGAGGAAGGUCCCCCACAUUGGAACUGAGACACGGCCCAGACUCC